rnacentral:rRNA from 1 species
GACGAACGCUGGCGGCGUGCCUAAUACAUGCAAGUAGGACGCUGAAGGCGGAGCUUGCUUCUCUGGAUGAGUUGCGAACGGGUGAGUAACGCGUAGGUAACCUGCCCGGUAGCGGGGGAUAACUAUUGGAAACGAUAGCUAAUACCGCAUAAUAGUAGAUGUUGCAUGACAUUUGCUGAAAAGGUGCAAUUGCAUCACUACCAGAUGGACCUGCGUUGUUUUAGCUAGUUGGUGGGGUAUCGGCUCGCCAAGGCGACGAUACAUAGCAGAACUGAGAGGGUGGGCGGCCACACUGGGACGGGGACACGCCCCAGACGCCUUCGGGAAGGGGCCAUAGGGAAUCGUGAGCAAGGGGCGGGAGACUGACCAAACAACGCCGCAGGAGUAAGGAGGGUUUCCGGGUCGUAAAGCUCUGUUUUAAGGGAGGAACGAGUGUGAGAGUGGAAAGUUCACUCAGUGACGGUAACUGACCAAGAAGCAACGGCUAACUACGUG